AUCCUGAGGUGUGUUUUCAAGGUCUCAGGGAUGCGUGGAGGUCCGGUUUGCAGACCUGCUCCACAUUAAAGCCACAUGUCGGUGUUUUCCUUUCCUUCAGGCUUGGGAUACCUGCAGCUUUUACGUCCGACUCACUCAGCCGGACAGGAAGGGUUGAGUUUCAUGUUUCCUUUGCUGCCUUCCUCCAGAGGUGGGCGGACGUCUUGAUGUGAAACGUUCCCAGUUUCCUGCAGCUCCCAGGUACAGCAGAAGAACAAACAACCCCUCUGAUAAAAGCUGGAGGCUGAUGCGUCCUCUGAGGAGUCGAAAUGACAGAAAGGGAGCAGAUCUGGAAACACAAAGAACAGGAGGGAAGGAGAAAGGGAUUUUCAGUGAUGCAGCUUAAUAAGCCAAGGAGGCAGAUCAAGGUCUUUGUGAACUCUGCAGCGAACCUGGGAAGAACAAUAACACGUUAUCUCUCGUCUCAGGAGAGACAUAAUUGGCUGACUUGGUUACUAAUAUGUCAUGUUCUGUUAACUGCUUCUUUUAAAGCUGUCAAGGUUGUUUUGGUGUUGCUAGUGAUGUUCUGUCACAAUGUGGAAGCUGGAGCACCCAAACACAGACGCAGGUAUUGUAAGAAAAAAAGUUUUAUGUGAGUAAAAGUAAAAAUGCUGCUUAAGAGGAAAAGAGAUCCAACACACAGAAAGAAGAAGCACACCAUGGCAUGAAGCAUAACUGAAAACCUGGGGUUAAUGUUUCAUUUCAUUUAUCUGCAGAUAACAUUACACCCAGGUUUAAUAUAUUUAGAUCCAGGUUGGAGGACAAGGAUUUAAUCACUGCUAGACUCUGAUCUGUAUCAGUAUAACCUUAUAACCAGUGUGCUUUAAAGUUAUCAAAUUAAAGGGGCAGAGAUAUGAUUUAUUUUCCAGUCACUAUACUAUAGCUAGGCACAUAGUGCCUAGCUAUAGUGAUUUAGCUUUUCAAUUUAGUGCCAUGAAAUUGGGCCUCUGUCUUUUUAGGUGAACAUGUUGGCCUAAUUAUGUUGUCAUUUUCCUAUUAACUAAAAAUUGCUGUUUGUGAUAUGUAAAAAUUCAUAAUUACUUUAAAAAUGUAUAUCUUUCGUUAUAUUUUUCACCCACAAAUGUAGACGUUUUCUCACCUGUGCGAUGCAUGCUGGGUUGAUGACACUUAGGUGCAUUCUGUACUGGAAUCUACUAAACAAUGCUAGCUUCUUGUUCUUCUUCUUCUUCUUCUUUUUUUAUGGUGGGUGGCAAGCAACAUUCCUUCAUAUGCAUUACCACUACUGAAAUGGAGUGUGGAUCAGGAACGAUAACUUAACCCGGGUUGGUCUUUAUCAUAUUGUGUUUGAUUGGUGUACAUUUAGACAAUGUCACACUGCGUCACUGUUGGUUGUAAUUUCAACCACAAAAAAACAAACAAAUAAAAACUAGAAAUAUUAUCACUUCCCCUAUAACAAAAUAGAACAGCACAACUUCCUGAAGAUCCAACAUUAGUGCUCUCAACAUUUCUCUCCAGAAGACUUUGAGUCAUUCCUAUUGGCAAAAUCAAUGAAGGAGAAGGAGUUAACAGGGGAUCGUUAUCCUCAAAAGUUAAAACCAAAUGCCGCAGCCGGCUAGUGAGGGAAAGAGAAACAAUAGAGACACACAACACCAGAAGCUCCUUCAAAUGAUGAAAUCACAGACCCCACAACGGAACAAACCACGGACCAGACACGGAGUACGUGCAAACAGAGAGGCGGAUCCGAUCAAUUUCGCAGCGCUUCUUCUUCUUCUUCUUCGAUGUUUUCGGCGGUUGGCAAACAACGAAACUGAUGCAUUACCGUCACCGACUGGUAGAGUGUGAACCAGAAUGUCAGAAUUAAAUUCUGUUUGGUAAGCAAAAUAUUAUCUGAUAAAUUAUACUUUGAGUUAUUUCAAUAUAAAUAAACCAAAUCACGUUUCUCUUUAAUUUGAUUUAAAUUUUGAAUCAAUUGUUCUUUCUUCUUCAUAAUUUUGACAGAAUAACACAACAUGCUCUAUUGUCUCAUUAACUACACAAUAAUCACCCUUGCCUAAGCAAUGUUUUCCCAAAAUAAAGAUGGCUAUUUAACCAAAUGUGCUCAAAUCCGAUACCUGAAACAACUGUCUGUUCUCUCCUCACCCUCUCUGUACUUCUCAUUUCUCCGGUCUUCUUUUGAAUUUUAUUAAACCAAUUUACUUUUAUUUC